rnacentral:rRNA from 1 species
GACGAACGCUGGCGGCGUGCCUAAUACAUGCAAGUCGAGCGAACAGAUGAGGAGCUUGCUCCUCCGACGUUAUCGGCGGACGGGUGAGUAACAUGUGGAUGACAUACCUAUAAGACUGGGAUAACAUUGGGAAAUCGGCGCUAAUGCCGGAUAAUAUAUUGAACCGCAUGGUUCACUAGUUAGAUACGGUUUUGCUUUCACUUAUAGAUUGCUCCGCGCCGCAUUAGCUAGUUGGUAAGGUAACGGCUUACCAAGGCAACGAUGCGUAGCCGACCUGAGCGGGUGAUCGGACACACUGGAACUGAGACACGGUCCAGACUCCUACGGGAGGCAGCAGUAGGGAAUCUUCCGCAAGGGGCGAAAGCCUGACGGAGCAACGCCGCGUGAGUGAUGAAGGUCUUCGGAUCGUAAAACUCUGUUAUUAGGGAAGAACAAAUGUGCAAGUAACUAUGCACGUCUUGACGGUACCUAAUCAGAAAGCCACGGCUAACUACGUG